UUUCAAGUCCGAUGCUAAAGACUGGGGCUCAACCCCAGGGGUGCGUUGGAUACUGUGAGGCUAGACGGUCGGAGGGGGUAGCGGAAUUUCCGGAGUAGCGGUGAAAUGCGCAGAUACCGGAAGGAACGCCAAUAGCGAAGGCAGCUACCUGGACGACUUGUGACGCUGAGGCGCGAAAGCGUGGGGAGCAAACCGGAUUAGAUACCCGGGUAGUCCACGCCCUAAACCAUGAGUGCUGGGUGUCCGGCUUCUGCUGGGUGCCGUAGCUAACGCGCUAAGCACUCCGCCUGGGAAGUACGCACGCAAGUGUGAAACUCAAAGGAAUUGACGGGGGCCCGCACAAGCGGUGGAGCAUGUGGUUUAAUUCGAAGCGACGCGAAGAACCUUACCAGGCCUUGACAUGCCCGGAACCCCUCUGAAAGGAGGGGGUGCCCGCAAGGGAGCCGGGACACAGGUGCUGCAUGGCCGUCGUCAGCUCGUGUCGUGAGAUGUUGGGUUAAGUCCCGCAACGAGCGCAACCCCUAUCCCUAGUUGCCAGCAGUUCGGCUGGGCACUCUAUGGAGACUGCCUGCGAAAGCAGGAGGAAGGCGGGGAUGACGUCUGGUCCGCAUGGCCCUUACGGCCUGGGCGACACACGUGCUACAAUGCCAAGGACAGAGCGCUGCUACCUCGCGAGAGGACGCCAAUCGCAAAAACCUUGGCUCAGUUCGGAUUGGAGUCUGCAACUCGA
rnacentral:rRNA from 1 species